CCUACGGGUGGCAGCAGUGGGGAAUAUUGCGCAAUGGGCGAAAGCCUGACGCAGCGACGCCGCGUGAGGGAUGAAGGUCUUCGGAUCGUAAACCUCUGUCAGCAGGGAAGAACGGUCACUUUGCUAAUCAGCAGUGCAUUGACGGUACCUGCAAAGGAAGCACCGGCUAACUCCGUGCCAGCAGCCGCGGUAAUACGGAGGGUGCGAGCGUUAAUCGGAAUUACUGGGCGUAAAGCGCUCGUAGGCGGUAUGUCAAGUCAAGGGUGAAAUCCCCGCGCUCAACGUGGGAAGGUCCUUUGAAACUGGCAAACUGGAGUGUGUGAGAGGAGAGUGGAAUUCCAGGUGUAGGAGUGAAAUCCGUAGAUAUCUGGAGGAACAUCAGUGGCGAAGGCGACUAUCUGGCACGUAACUGACGCUGAGGAGCGAAAGCGUGGGUAGCAAACAGGAUUAGAUACCCUUGUAGUC
rnacentral:rRNA from 1 species